rnacentral:rRNA from 1 species
CACGGAGUUAGCCGGGGUUCUUUACCAGGUACUGUCAUUAUCAUCCCUGGCGAAAGAGCUUUACGACCCUAGGGCCUUCAUCACUCACGCGGCAUGGCUAGAUCAGGCUUUCGCCCAUUGUCUAAGAUUCCCC